rnacentral:tRNA from 1 species
AGAUCCAUAGCUCAGUUGGUUAGAGCGCUACACUGAUAAUGUAGAGGUCUCCAGUUCAAAUCUGGAUGGGUCUA